rnacentral:rRNA from 1 species
UACGUAGGUGGCAAGCGUUGUCCGGAUUUACUGGGCGUAAAGAGCGCGCAGGCGGUCGUUCAAGUCGCGUGUGAAAGCCCCGGCUCAACUGGGGAGGGUCACGCGAUACUGAUCGACUCGAAGGCAGGAGAGGGAAGUGGAAUUCCCGGUGUAGUGGUGAAAUGCGUAGAUAUCGGGAGGAACACCAGUGGCGAAGGCGACUUCCUGGCCUGUUCUUGACGCUGAGGCGGCGAAAGCUAGGGGAGCAACGGG